GCGGAUGUGGUGGAAUUGGUAGACACGUAUUCUUGAGGGGGAUAUGCUUUAGGGCGUGAGGGUUCAAGUCCCUCCAUCCGCACCA
rnacentral:tRNA from 1 species